ACAUAUGCUAUGAAGAGAAGAGUAAAUAAAAUUAAUUCUUUACAGAGAACUCCGGUAGCUGAAAGGGAGUAAGACAAAUUUUAUUGAACCAAGCCUCUGAGCAGCACAUUGGAACCCAAAUAGGGGGAUAGUGUGACAGGAGCUCCUGUUAUAGAGCUAGGGUAUAGUUUGUUGUACCUGAUAAGGUUAAUAUGGUGACAUAUUAACAAACAGGGGUGGUACCGCGAUUAAAAAUCUCGUCCCCAAG
rnacentral:ncRNA from 1 species